ensembl:lncRNA
UCAUAGGAGGUGGAAACAGAACCUUCUGCAUGCCUAUAUUACAUAUGUGACAGGCUCUGGUGCUGAUUUCAGUAAAGACUAAAUCAGAUGAUUAAGGAUUUUGAGGCAGACAAACUCAGACCAUGAGAGAGGAGCUCAUCAGAGCCAAGCCAACCUACCAGGAGCCUUUACAGCCAAGGGUUUCCCCAACACUCUAAUUCAGGCUGACAGAUCAAGGCGUCAUCUGAACAGAAGACCAGUGCCUCUUAGGUCACGAGUGGGCAGUUAUUCACUGCUCAGUCACAAAACACAAAACAGUCCUCUGCAAGUUGUGAGAGCUCGAAGGCAUGCUGGGGUUGCUGCUGAUCCGGCCAUGCCUUCUAGAAUGACAGUGAAGCAGAGGCCCAGAAGUGUGACCAGGAAGAAGAACACAAAAGUUGCAGUCUGCUCAUGAGACGGGAUGUUCGUAGGGAGAAAGUCAAAAGAAUCCAAAGGCAAAUAUAGGGAUGCAUAUAUUUAGAUAAUCUAUAUUUUGUCCAUCUGUUCACUUAUGUGCUGUCAUUUAAGGUGUUUCUUGAUGGUUUUUUAUGCUUUAAAGUCAUUAAAAAAUAGUGGAGAUGUUGAGUAAAAGUCAGUUUUUGCUCUAAUAUGGCUUUUAUAAGAUUUAUUGUAUGCAAAUCUUUAAGGCUUUGUCCAAGGUAAAGCCUGAUUUGGACAACUUCACUGUAAUCCUUAAGGUAUUAUUGUGUAUAUUGUUUGGAAAAUGCCAGCGACCAACUGAUAAAAUGGUAAAAUACAAGAAAACACAAACAUUCAUACAGAAAAACACAGCAUUUAUAGGACACUGGAAGAGAUCAAGUACUCAAUUACUCUUUUAUAGUGCAUACGUUUUUUUUUGUUUGUUUGUUUUUGCAGAAUUUGGGCCUACUGAUCCACAAACGCAGGAGAUAUUUUCUGUAGAACAUUUUGUAUUUGUAAAUCAAGCCAUCAGAAUAAGUGCUACUCAAACCUCCAUAAUGUCAGGUUGUAGUAAUCAAAUACCCUGCUUAAAACAUUUAUUCCUGUAUAUUUAAAUGAAAGUGUUUCUAAAACCUUUAUAAAAAAAAGAUUCUUUGUGUUUUUAAUAUACUAAAUGGUGCAGCUCUAUAUAAAGUACUUUUCAAGAAUAUUUUCUGGUCUGGUGUCAGAUUCUGACUUUAAUCACUGCUGAUUAAACAUUCAUUAUAUCAAACAAACUUCAAAUAGUGAGCGAUGUCUUGUAUUAAAGUAGCCAAACAUUCGGUGCUCAAUUGUGUUAACUCAAGAGAAAGCAAUUUAGUGAGAGAGUGAGAGUGAGAGAGAGAGAGAGAGAGAGAGAGAGAGAGAGAGAGAGAGAGAGAGAGAGACCAAAUCAGACAAAAUAAAUAAGCAAAGAACUAUUUAAAUGGUUCUCCAGCUACACAUGACAUCACUUACCUCUUAACCCGAAUUGACUCAUGACUUUGUGUGAGUAAAAUUUGGGCAAACAUAUGUACUGUCCGAAGGUCUCUCCCUCCCUCCUCUCUCUCUCUCUCUCUCUCUCUCUCUCUCUCUCUCUGUCUCACACACACACUGUAUUUACAUUUUUGUGGAGCAUUUUCACUGAUGCAUAUUCCUUAGUGGAACUAAUGCUACACUAACACAUAACCCUAAG